rnacentral:rRNA from 1 species
CGGAGGAAAAGAAACCAACAGGGAUUGCCUCAGUAACGGCGAGUGAAGCGGCAAAAGCUCAAAUUUGAAAUCUGGCUCUUUCAGGGUCCGAGUUGUAAUUUGUAGAAGAUGCUUUGGGUGUGGCUCUGGUUUAAGUUCUUUGGAAUAUUACAUCAUAGAGGGUGAGAAUCCCGUAUGUGACCAGUCGCCGCGCCCGUGUAAAGCUCUUUCAACGAGUCGAGUUGUUUGGGAAUGCAGCUCAAAAUGGGAGGUAUAUUUCUUCUAAAGCUAAAUAUUGGCCAGAGACCGAUAGCGCACAAGUAGAGUGAUCGAAAGAUGAAAAGCACUUUGGAAAGAGAGUUAAACAGUACGUGAAAUUGUUGAAAGGGAAGCGCUUGCAACCAGACUUGCACGCAGUUGAUCAUCCGGUGUUCUCACCGGGGCACUCUGCUGCGUUCAGGCCAGCAUCGGUUUUGGUGGUUGGAUAAAGGCCUUGGGAAUGUAGCUUCUUUCGGGGAGUGUUAUAGCCCUUGGUGCAAUGCAGCCUACCGGGACCGAGGACCGCGCUUCGGCUAGG